rnacentral:RNase_P_RNA from 1 species
GUGUGAGGUGCAGGCAGCUGACGGACAUGAUGUCUGAGGAAGUUCUGUCCGCCUGAGGAUGUUGCUCUUAAGGAGCUGGAAACGUAACAGAAACGAUACCGUCCUGGCAUUGCCUGGUCGGAUGAAACGGACGUUUCCCUUCCAAAGAAGGCGCAAGGCGCUAUGCCGCAUAGUAUAAUGCUGCCAACGCUUACAGCGUUUUACAGAAGACAGACUAUGCCCCUCACUC